rnacentral:rRNA from 1 species
CCUACGGGUGGCAGCAGUAGGGAAUAUUGCUCAAUGGGCGAAACCCUGAACCAGCAACGCCGCGUGGAGGAUGAAGGUUUUCGGAUUGUAAACUCCUUUUGUUAGAGAAGAUAAUGACGGUAUCUAACGAAUAAGCACCGGCUAACUCCGUGCCAGCAGCCGCGGUAAUACGGAGGGUGCAAGCGUUACUCGGAAUCACUGGGCGUAAAGAGCGCGUAGGCGGGAUAGCAAGUCAGAUGUGAAAUCCUAUGGCUUAACCAUAGAACUGCAUUUGAAACUGUUAUUCUAGAGUAUGGGAGAGGUAGGUGGAAUUCUUGGUGUAGGGGUAAAAUGCGUAGAGAUCAAGAGGAAUACUCAUUGCGAAGGCGACCUGCUAGAACAUAACUGACGCUGAUGCGCGAAAGCGUGGGGAGCAAACAGGAUUAGAUACCCCAGUAGUC